GUUUCGUGAGAGUGUUAGUGAGUAAGUGAGCCAUGCAUUCGUGGAAUGGCCCACGCUUAUGAAAGCGAAAAGAUAUUCUUUCUUUUUCCCCUCUUAAUUAAGAAUUCUAGCAAUGAUGUUACAGGAAAGCACUGCGUCGAUGAUCGAAGAAAGCGAAACCCACCAUCCCCUUCUUCGAUUCACCAGCGAUGUCCAAUGCCGUUUCCAAGCUGUCCACGCGCCAUUCGACCCUGCUGAAACUUGUUUUCCACCCGAAAAUCUCGGGGUCGCUUCGUGGGAGGUGAAACGUGACGUAAAAUGGCUCGAUCGAACACUCGAUUCCCAGGAUUAUGAUUUUCCGCGUGUCGUCGACGUAACAGGGUAUACAUAAGAACUGCACGAUUCCCUGCAAACACUCGGUUCAUAAGGAAUUAAGAGUUCGUGAAAUUCUCAUUAUCUUGAUUUCGAUAAGGGACAGUAUACACAAAAUGAACGAUAUGGAAGCCAACGCACAUUCUACUUUCAUCAUCCAUCGUGUGCCGCACACAGACUUCCACGUCAGCGAUCCAAACGUCUACGGACUAACGAUUUCAUCAGUUCCAAACCUGACACGUUUAGUAAACUCAACGUAUAAAUCUAUAAGAAGAAUUUACGGUCGAAGCUUUCCGCCGCCUGUUGGUGCAAAUCUCGGUUUGUAAUUCUAGUCUUUUCGGUAUGGCCGCGAGCGGGAUGUCCUCCACGUAUAAUCUAUAGAUAAAUAAAAAAUAGAGAACGGUGUCGAAAGCUGUUGACGAGAAUACAGUAGAAUAUCGAGUACCCUAACUCUUAUUUGUUCUACGAAGGAGUCCAGAGCAGGAAAUAUUUUAUUUUAAUAUUUACAAAAAUACAAUUACAGAUGUAAACGCAAGAUAUAAAAUACCAA